GACGAACGCUGGCGGCGUGCUUAACACAUGCAAGUCGAACGGAAAGGCCCUGCUUUUGUGGGGUGCUCGAGUGGCGAACGGGUGAGUAACACGUGAGUAACCUGCCCUUGACUUUGGGAUAACUUCAGGAAACUGGGGCUAAUACCGGAUAGGAGCUCCUGCUGCAUGGUGGGGGUUGGAAAGUUUCGGCGGUUGGGGAUGGACUCGCGGCUUAUCAGCUUGUUGGUGGGGUAGUGGCUUACCAAGGCUUUGACGGGUAGCCGGCCUGAGAGGGUGACCGGCCACAUGGGGACUGGGAUACGGCCCAGACUCCGACGGGAGGCAGCAGGGGGGAAUGUUGCACAAUGGGCGGAAGCCUGAUGCAGCAACGCCGCGUGCGGGAUGACGGCCUUCGGGUUGUAAACCGCUUUCGCCUGUGACGAAGCGUGAGUGACGGUAAUGGGUAAAGAAGCACCGGCUAACUACGU
rnacentral:rRNA from 1 species